AUGCUCCAGGGCAACUUACCAAAUGGAGAAGAUGUUGCUGCUAAGAGACUUGCAGCGAAUUCAGGGCAAGGACUACCAGAGUUUAAGAAUGAAAUCUUGUUAAUAGCCAAGCUUCAACACAGCAAUUUAGUGGGACUCCUAGGUUGCUGCAUUGACGGGGAAGAAAUGUUACUAAUCUACGAGUAUAUGCCAAACAAAAGCUUGGAUUUCUUCCUAUUUGAACAAUCGAGAAGGGCUUUUUUAGUCUGGGCAAUGCGUCUUAACAUAAUUGAAGGGAUUGCACAAGGUCUUAUUUAUCUCCACAAGCAUUCUCGGUUGAGAAUUAUUCACAGGGACCUGAAACCAAGCAACAUUUUGUUAGACACUGAUAUGAACCCUAAGAUCUCAGACUUUGGAAUGGCAAGAAUAUUUGAUCCUAAAGGAGGACUAGCUAACACGAAAAGAGUCGUUGGAACAUAUGGCUACAUGGCUCCUGAAUAUGCUAUGGCAGGUAUUUUCUCUGUCAAGUCCGAUGUAUUUAGCUACGGGGUAUUGCUUCUGGAGAUCAUUAGUGGACUAAGAAAUGCCGCAGCUCGUGGACAUGGAAACUCCCUAAACCUCCUUGGUCAUGCAUGGGAGCUGUGGAAAGAAGGCAGAUGGCGCGAGCUCAUUGAUAAAUCGUUGCACGGUGCAUGUCCUGAGAAUAUGGUUCUACGAUGCAUUCACGUCGGCCUGCUGUGCGUUCAGGAGAAUGCUGCUGAUCGGCCCUCCAUGGCCGAAGUCAUUUCCAUGAUUACUAACGAAAACGCCACCUUGCCGGCCCCAAAACAACCUGGUUUCGUAUCCAUGUUGCUUCCAACUGAAGCUGAUGUCCCUGAAGGAAGCUGCUCUCUGAAUGAUUUGUCAAUUACUCGCCUGGAUGGUAGGUAG
rnacentral:rRNA from 1 species